rnacentral:rRNA from 1 species
UGGGGAAUUUUGGACAAUGGGCGAAAGCCUGAUCCAGCAAUGCCGCGUGUGUGAAGAAGGCCUUCGGGUUGUAAAGCACUUUUGUCCGGAAAGAAAUCCUUGGCUCUAAUACAGUCGGGGGAUGACGGUACCGGAAGAAUAAGCACCGGCUAACUACGUGCCAGCAGCCGCGGUAAUACGUAGGGUGCAAGCGUUAAUCGGAAUUACUGGGCGUAAAGCGUGCGCAGGCGGUUUGCUAAGACCGAUGUGAAAUCCCCGGGCUCAACCUGGGAACUGCAUUGGUGACUGGCAGGCUAGAGUAUGGCAGAGGGGGUAGAAUUCCACGUGUAGCAGUGAAAUGCGUAGAGAUGUGGAGGAAUACCGAUGGCGAAGGCAGCCCCCUGGGCCAAUACUGACGCUCAUGCACGAAAGCGUGGGGAGCAAACAGGAUUAGAUACCCUGGUAGUCCACGCCCUAAAACGAUGUCAACUAGUUGUUGGGGAUUCAUUUCCUUAGUAACGUAGCUAACGCGUGAAGUUGACCGCCUGGGGAGUACGGUCGCAAGAUUAAAACUUAAAUGAAUUGACGGGGUCAUA